rnacentral:lncRNA from 1 species
GGAAAUUCUCUGUAUCCUGUGAGCACAGAGAUGUUUCUGUGCGUGAGACCCUGCUGGUGGUCUGUUAUUUGCAGGAGGAUUUUUUGCUUGCAAGGAGAAUUUUGCAACCACCAAGUGCAAACUUUUCUGGAAGAGCUCUGGUUUUCAUACAAAUCUCUGAAUCUCUCCAGAUGGCCUUCCGGAGACACGCUGGGUGAGUGGAAAAUGUAAUGAAAUUCCCAGAGCCUUCUGGUGCACUACCAAGGUAUUCCUGCCAGCUUUCCAGCCCGAGAUGUUGGUGCAGCUGUAGCAGCCCGGGCCACAGAUAGAGUCACAGUAAGCCAAAUCAAUCUCAAGGAGCAGUAGCAGAAUGGCAGCCCUACACCAUGCAGUAAUACCAACGUUUAGCUUACAGAGAAAUGAGUGAUCUGAACUGCUCCAUCAAUACCAAUGCUGAUGCAAGUGGAUCUGAACCAGGAACAGAGCCGUAUGUCUCCCAAGGAAGGCCCAGCUCUGCCAUUUGAACAAUCCUUCUCCAUCUGCUGCUCCUGCUACAGGAGCUGUGUGUGGAGUGGCAGUGCGGUGACGCCAGGCCUGCAGACACUGCCUCUGUCACUCCUGUGUUUCCAGGGAGCCAGGCUGGGUGAGGAAGUGUGGACAAAUGUCAAGGUCAGUUUUGGGAGCUUUUGUAAUGGAAUGCAAGAGGAGCAAAACAGACCUAAGGAAGACAAGGAUUUUACAAUCCAUCUGCUGUUGCAGUCAAAGGACUCCCCAUUAAUUUCAGUAAAAGGAGAAAUAAAGUAUAAACCAGGAAAUCAGAUGAAACUGAGAGAACUUGCCCAUGAGUUUAUUUUUCUUAGCAAUAUAGAAUAAUUUCUUAAACUGAGGAAAUGUUCCUGAUAGCUGAGAUCUUCAUUCUAGAAAUAGUGUGGCUAAGUAUUUUUGUAUGUGGAUUUAAAUUAUUCAAAAAAAUAAAUUUUAUGAAUAUUUUUCA